CCAAUAGCGUAUAUUAAAGUUGUUGCAGUUAAAAAGCUCGUAGUUGAAUUUCGGGGUUUAUCCGUUGGUCGGGCUUUUGGGUCUGUACUGGCGUGAUGGAUUCCUACCUUCUGAAUAACUAGCAUGCCAUUAAUUUGGUGCGUUGGGGAAGCAGGACUGUUACCUUGAAAAAAUUAGAGUGCUUAAAGCAGGCUAUUGCCUGAAUACAUUAGCAUGGAAUAAUGAAAUAGGACGCAUGGUUCUAUUUUGUUGGUUUCUAGGAUCACCGUAAUGAUUAAUAGGGAUAGUUGGGGGCAUUAGUAUUCAAUUGUCAGAGGUGAAAUUCUUGGAUUUAUUGAAGACUAACUUCUGCGAAAGCAUUUGCCAAGGAUGUUUUCAUUAAUCAAGAACGAAAGUUAGGGGAUCGAAGACGAUCAGAUACCGUCGUAGUCUUAACCAUAAACUAUGCCGACUAGGGAUCGGACGAUGUUAAUUUUUUAAUGACUCGUUCGGCGCCUUACG
rnacentral:rRNA from 1 species